rnacentral:rRNA from 1 species
AGUUCGGUCUCUAUCUAUCGUGGGCGUUGGAGAUUUGCGUGGAUCCGGCACUAGUACGAGAGGACCGUGCCGGACGGACCGCUGGUCUGCCGGUUGUGCCGCCAGGUGCACCGCCGGGUAUCCAAGUCCGGCCCGGAUAAGCGCUGAAGGCAUCUAAGCGCGAAGCCGUCCGCAAGAUGAGAUCUCCGCUGAGGGUCGUCAGAGACGAUGACGUUGAUAGGAGGCAGGUGUAUGGACGGUGACGUCUCAGCCGAGCCUUACUAAUGGCCCGAACCCUUUCCGCCU